rnacentral:lncRNA from 1 species
AAGAAUGCAUGUAUUGUGUAACAUGAUGUCCUAGGAGUGUCAUCUGAUGAAGAUUGUCAAAGGUUCCUCAACAAGAGAGGGAGAGGACACGGAAGAGGCCAACACAGGGGGGUGGAAGAAAUCAAGACUAUCCAACCACAUGGAGCAGGACCAGAACAAGGCUGUGAUCAACAUUUCUGGAGAACCCCUUUCUGAUGAUUGUGUAAGAGUCUUGUCUAAAGGAGUGUCAUUUGCCCCCACAUACUCAACUAAUGAAUUCAAUACAAAUAUUGACCUAUUUCGCUUCUACAG